AUAUGGUCAAGUGAAGAAGCGCAUACGGUGGAUGCCUUGGCAGUCAGAGGCGAUGAAAGACGUGGUAGCCUGCGAAAAGCUUCGGGGAGUCGGCAAACAGACUGUGAUCCGGAGAUAUCUGAAUGGGGGAACCCAGCCAUCAUAAGAUGGUUAUCUUGUACUGAAUACAUAGGUGCAAGAGGCGAACCAGGGGAACUGAAACAUCUAAGUACCCUGAGGAAAAGAAAUCAACCGAGAUUCCCUUAGUAGUGGCGAGCGAACGGGGACCAGCCCUUAAGUUGUAUUGAGAUUAGCGGAACGUUCUGGAAAGGACGGCCAUAGUGGGUGAUAGCCCUGUACGCGAAAAUCCCUUUGCAAUGAAAUCGAGUAGGACGGGGCACGAGAAACCUUGUCUGAAUAUGGGGGGACCAUCCUCCAAGGCUAAAUACUACUGACUGACCGAUAGUGAACCAGUACCGUGAGGGAAAGGCGAAAAGAACCGCGGAGAGCGGAGUGAAAUAGAUCCUGAAACCGUAUGCGUACAAGCAGUGGGAGCCCACUUUGUUGGGUGACUGCGUACCUUUUGUAUAAUGGGUCAGCGACUUAUUUUCAGUGGCGAGCUUAACCGAAUAGGGGAGGCGUAGCGAAAGCGAGUCUUAAUAGGGCGUCUAGUCGCUGGGAAUAGACCCGAAACCGGGCGAUCUAUCCAUGGGCAGGUUGAAGGUUGGGUAACACUAACUGGAGGACCGAACCGACUACCGUUGAAAAGUUAGCGGAUGACCUGUGGAUCGGAGUGAAAGGCUAAUCAAGCUCGGAGAUAGCUGGUUCUCCUCGAAAGCUAUUUAGGUAGCGCCUCAUGUAUCACUGUAGGGGGUAGAGCACUGUUUCGGCUAGGGGGUCAUCCCGACUUACCAAACCGAUGCAAACUCCGAAUACCUACAAGUGCCGAGCAUGGGAGACACACGGCGGGUGCUAACGUCCGUCGUGAAAAGGGAAACAACCCAGACCGUCAGCUAAGGUCCCAAAGUCAUGGUUAAGUGGGAAACGAUGUGGGAAGGCUUAGACAGCUAGGAGGUUGGCUUAGAAGCAGCCACCCUUUAAAGAAAGCGUAAUAGCUCACUAGUCGAGUCGGCCUGCGCGGAAGAUGUAACGGGGCUCAAACCAUGCACCGAAGCUACGGGUAUCAUCUUUUGAUGAUGCGGUAGAGGAGCGUUCUGUAAGCCUGUGAAGGUGAGUUGAGAAGCUUGCUGGAGGUAUCAGAAGUGCGAAUGCUGACAUGAGUAACGACAAUGGGUGUGAAAAACACCCACGCCGAAAGACCAAGGUUUCCUGCGCAACGUUAAUCGACGCAGGGUUAGUCGGUCCCUAAGGCGAGGCUGAAAAGCGUAGUCGAUGGAAAACAGGUUAAUAUUCCUGUACUUCUGGUUAUUGCGAUGGAGGGACGGAGAAGGCUAGGCCAGCCUGGCGUUGGUUGUCCAGGUUUAAGGUGGUAGGCUGAGAUCUUAGGUAAAUCCGGGAUCUUAAGGCCGAGAGCUGAUGACGAGUGUUCUUUAGAACACGAAGUGGUUGAUGCCAUGCUUCCAAGAAAAGCUUCUAAGCUUCAGGUAACCAGGAACCGUACCCCAAACCGACACAGGUGGUUGGGUAGAGAAUACCAAGGCGCUUGAGAGAACUCGGGUGAAGGAACUAGGCAAAAUGGCACCGUAACUUCGGGAGAAGGUGCGCCGGUGAGGGUGAAGCAUUUACUGCGUAAGCUCAUGCCGGUCGAAGAUACCAGGCCGCUGCGACUGUUUAUUAAAAACACAGCACUCUGCAAACACGAAAGUGGACGUAUAGGGUGUGACGCCUGCCCGGUGCCGGAAGGUUAAUUGAUGGGGUUAGCGCAAGCGAAGCUCUUGAUCGAAGCCCCGGUAAACGGCGGCCGUAACUAUAACGGUCCUAAGGUAGCGAAAUUCCUUGUCGGGUAAGUUCCGACCUGCACGAAUGGCGUAACGAUGGCGGCGCUGUCUCCACCCGAGACUCAGUGAAAUUGAAAUCGCUGUGAAGAUGCAGUGUAUCCGCGGCUAGACGGAAAGACCCCGUGAACCUUUACUAUAGCUUUGCACUGGACUUUGAAUUUGCUUGUGUAGGAUAGGUGGGAGGCUUUGAAGCGUGGACGCCAGUCUGCGUGGAGCCAACCUUGAAAUACCACCCUGGCAACUUUGAGGUUCUAACUCAGGUCCGUUAUCCGGAUCGAGGACAGUGUAUGGUGGGUAGUUUGACUGGGGCGGUCUCCUCCUAAAGAGUAACGGAGGAGUACGAAGGUGCGCUCAGACCGGUCGGAAAUCGGUCGUAGAGUAUAAAGGCAAAAGCGCGCUUGACUGCGAGACAGACACGUCGAGCAGGUACGAAAGUAGGUCUUAGUGAUCCGGUGGUUCUGUAUGGAAGGGCCAUCGCUCAACGGAUAAAAGGUACUCCGGGGAUAACAGGCUGAUACCGCCCAAGAGUUCAUAUCGACGGCGGUGUUUGGCACCUCGAUGUCGGCUCAUCACAUCCUGGGGCUGAAGCCGGUCCCAAGGGUAUGGCUGUUCGCCAUUUAAAGUGGUACGCGAGCUGGGUUUAGAACGUCGUGAGACAGUUCGGUCCCUAUCUGCCGUGGACGUUUGAGAUUUGAGAGGGGCUGCUCCUAGUACGAGAGGACCGGAGUGGACGAACCUCUGGUGUUCCGGUUGUCACGCCAGUGGCAUUGCCGGGUAGCUAUGUUCGGAAAAGAUAACCGCUGAAAGCAUCUAAGCGGGAAACUUGCCUCAAGAUGAGAUCUCACUGGAACCUUGAGUUCCCUAAAGGGCCGUCGAAGACUACGACGUUGAUAGGUUGGGUGUGUAAGCGCUGUGAGGCGUUGAGCUAACCAAUACUAAUUGCCCGUGAGGCUUGACCAU
rnacentral:rRNA from 2 species